UUUCAGGAUCCAGCUAUUGUCGUCUUCAAUAAACCCCCUGGAUUGCCUGUUCAGGGUGGUAUUGGAAUCAAAAGGAGUUUAGAUGAACUGGCUGCCACUUGUUUAAGUUACAGCUUUUCAGAACCCCCUCGUCUGCUCAAAGAGAGAAGAUAAGUGAAGCUAAUCAAGGUAUGCUUGCUCAAUUUCUCUGGUCAAAUUUUUGGGGAUUCGUUUGGAGGUGAUUCCAAAUGCUCAGUUUGAGACUUAUUCGUCAACGUUGCCAUCUCAAUUGGUGAAAUUAAUAGAGGGCUGGAGCUUAUUCAGGAUGUUAUUGCUUGUGGAGGAAAUCUGAAGCAAUUUCUUGUGGCUCCAAACAAGGACAGCAGCUGCAGUGUCAGAAAAUGCCAUAGUUCUGAGUUUUAAAUCGAGGGUUUAAAGCAGAACAGCAGCUACAGUCAUGUUUAUGCCUUCUUUCAUUGCUUGGAUUAUAUAUAAUUGAAAUGAUGAAUAACUGAAUCAAUGUAUCCAAAGAUUGAUUGGAAUACUAUUGCAGUUGAGAUUAUUGAUUUGCUGGGUAUUUGAAAACAGAGAGAUAAAGUCAUUUAUAUGAGAUAUUGAAAGCUUGGAUGAAGUGAAGAAGAGGUUCAAGGAAGAGUAGCUGUUCAGCCUUUAUUGAUAUUGUUCUCAAUGUUGUUCUUGUGUUUUAAUGUAUGAAUGAUUGAGAAAUAUUAUGUUUAUGGUAUAUUUGAUGCUUUAAUGUA